rnacentral:lncRNA from 1 species
UAUGUUUUCCAAACUUGGGGGACAAGUUGGUUGUGUUCACUGCAUGAAUGGCAAAAUGCAGAAGUUCACGGUACAGGACUUUGAAGAGCGACAAAUAUUAUUCUGGCAGGGUUGAUGCUGUUGUACUGCUCAUUUCUUCGGUGCAGUUUAGAGUGCAAACUCCAAUGGAGACUUUGAAGCAGUUCUAUUGCUACAUAUAUGAAUCAAAUAUCCCUCUUGCAGUUACUCCAAGAGUUUAGCAUUAUGGAAAUGAAGACUGGAUUAGAAAUUAACUAGUUACUGACGCCCUCUAUAACUUCGUAAAGAAAUGAGAUGGUUACAUAUAAAAAAGACAGGAGAUUAGUACACUUAGUUUCUGCUUUUGGUAGCUCUU